UACAGAGGGUGCAAGCGUUGUUCGGAAUUGUUGGGCGUAAAGCGCUUGUAGGCGGCUUGUUAAGUUCCGUGUGAAAUCCCCAGGCUUAACCUGGGAAGUGCGCGGAAAACUGGCGAGCUUGAGUGCCGGAGAGGGUCGCGGAAUUCCCGGUGUAGAGGUGAAAUUCGUAGAUAUCGGGAGGAACACCAGUGGCGAAGGCGGCGACCUGGACGGACACUGACGCUGAGACGCGAAAGCGUGGGGAGCAAACAGG
rnacentral:rRNA from 1 species